UACGGAGGGUGCAAGCGUUAUCCGGAUUCACUGGGUUUAAAGGGCGCGUAGGCGGCGUGGUAAGUCACUUGUGAAAUCUCUGAGCUUACUCGGAACGGUCAACUGAUACUGUUUGCUAGAGUACAGAAGGGGCAAUCGGAAUUCUUGGUGUAGCGGUGAAAUGCGUAGAUAUCAAGAGGAACACCUGAGGUGAAGACGGGUUGCUGGGCUGAUACUGACGUGAGGCGCGAAAGCUAGGGUAGCAAACGGG
rnacentral:rRNA from 1 species